UACGUAGGGACCGAGCGUUGUCCGGAUUCAUUGGGCGUAAAGAGCUCGUAGGCGGCCACUCAAGUCGAAUGUGAAACCUCGAGGCUUAACCUCGAGCCUGCAUUCGAUACUGGGCGGCUAGAGUCUGGUAGGGGGAUCUGGAAUUCCUGGUGUAGCGGUGGAAUGCGCAGAUAUCAGGAGGAACACCAACGGCGAAGGCAGCACUCUGGGCCGGUACUGACGCUGAGGAGCGAAAGCGUGGGGAGCAAACAGG
rnacentral:rRNA from 1 species